rnacentral:tRNA from 1 species
ACAUUGGUAGUUCUAUGGUAGAAUUCUCGCCUUCUAUGCGGGAGACCCAGGAUUGAUUCCUGGCCAAUGCA